CAAGUAAUGACUGUUUAAAUGAUAAUUUACUUUAAAUGUUAGAAUUGCUAAAGAGCUAUCAACACCAUUAUUUCAAGAUUUUUUUAUGUUUCCAGAUAUAUAUUUUGUCUUUGUGGAAAAUUUAGUUCUUGUUAGGUGAUAUGCAGGUCAAAUAUUUCUAAGCCUGUUUAGAUUUUAGGAGAACAAAGAAUCCUCGCUAAAGAUAUACUUCAUCUAUUAGUUGAUGCUGGCUUAUCAUAUGCAUGCAAGUUAUGUAUAGUUGGUUCUUAAAUUAUUGCCUUGGGAAUAAAAAAAUUAGUAAGUAUGGAGGCUUUGGGGACUAAAGCACACCGGAAAGUAAAUAUAGAUGUUAGGGUUUUGUUGUGCACUCCAUUAGAUUAGAAGGGGAUUCAUACGAAGCCCUUUAGCAAUUCUCCGUAUCACAUCAAAAUGUUAGCUUGUUUGGAAACACCUGUUUAACUGGCCCAACUUCAUUUUGCUGCCAGCCUUAAUCAGCAAGUGAAAUUUUGCUGCUAGGCUUUAUGUCCCAUUUGGCCAGUACAUUUGUGGGGAAAAGUAAUACUCUGUUCCUUCCCUCUCUAGUACAUAUUUGUCCGGGUUUGAGAUUUAAAUUUAUUAAUCUCUAACUUCUCUUUUCCUGUUCUUAUUUUUCUAAACUCAAUUGUUGAAUUGAGCUGCGUGCUGCAGAAGUUUGUUUAGUGUCAGUAAGAAGUAUAAUUCAAAGCCCGCAAACACGAUCAAGAACCAAAUUGAAUUAAGAAGUAUAAUUCAAAGCCCGCAAACACGAUCAAGAACCAAAUUGAAUGCCUUCUGGUUUAUUGUUACUUCAUUCUUAUAUCCCUCUUAUGGUAACAUUUUCUUGUUUGAAAUUUGUCUGUAUGUGCAGGUUUGACUGGUCUGACUCAUUUGGAUCUAUUCUGCGCUCGUAUCACAGAUUCAGGAACAAAUUAUUUGCGAAGUACUUGCAUAUAACUUCUGUCAUUUAUUUAAAAUUAACACGUGUUCCAUUUUGAGAAGUUCUUUUUAGGGUUAAAUUCUGCAUUAUUAUUAUAUUUUAUAUGUUAUUAAAUAUGUAUUUGGAACUGGAAACAGCAGGAUCAUUUACAUUCAUAUUUCAUGUUGUGGGCUGAUUAUUUAGGUUUCAAGAAUUUGCGGUCCUUGGAAGUUUGUGGUGGAGGAUUAACUGACGCUGGUGUGAAGAAUAUCAAAGAUCUCUCGUCUUUGACAAUGUUGAAUCUCUCUCAGAACCACCACCUGACAGAUAGAACCCUGGAACUGAUUUCUGGUAUAUAUUGGCAUCUUUAACUCAUCUAGAUCUUCUUUAUGUGAAUGUGGUUGAUUUUUUUUAGUACUCUGGUAUUUCAAAUCCCUAGAAAUGUAUUGAUACUGAUUACAUAUAUAUUCUUCACUUUGCACGUUUGCGAUGGAGAUAUCAGCNAAAAAAAAAAAAAAAAAGCUUGGUGUUUUUCCUUCUACAACAGUUGAUGCUUCUUCUCAUCUUCCUUUUUGCAUAUCUAUCUACUGACCCCAGUCAGCUCCAUGUAAUGUAUUGUUACUUCAUAUUCAGGGCUUCAGCAUUUGAAAUGUUUGGAGCUGUCUGAUACUGAAGUAGGAAGCAACGGACUCCAUCAUCUCUCUGGUUAGACAAGUGUCUUGUGUAGUGAUUAUAUAGCGUUAUCAUUUAGUGGUGAUCCAUGUUUCUUUGUAUACAUUAAUGUUGUUUAUAUCCUUAAGUAUCUAUUAUGUAGGUUUGACUAAUCUGGAGAGUUUGAAUCUUUCAUUCACUGUUGUAACUGAUGCUGGUCUGAAAAAACUAUCUGGAUUAUCAUUUCUGAAGUCUCUUAAUUUGGAUGCUCGCCAAAUUACAGAUGCUGGCUUGGCAGCUCUCACAAGUAAUGACUGUUUAAAUGAUAAUUUACUUUAAAUGUUAGAAUUGCUAAAGAGCUAUCAACACCAUUAUUUCAAGAUUUUUUUAUGUUUCCAGAUAUAUAUUUUGUCUUUGUGGAAAAUUUAGUUCUUGUUAGGUGAUAUGCAGGUCAAAUAUUUCUAAGCCUGUUUAGAUUUUAGGAGAACAAAGAAUCCUCGCUAAAGAUAUACUUCAUCUAUUAGUUGAUGCUGGCUUAUCAUAUGCAUGCAAGUUAUGUAUAGUUGGUUCUUAAAUUAUUGCCUUGGGAAUAAAAAAAUUAGUAAGUAUGGAGGCUUUGGGGACUAAAGCACACCGGAAAGUAAAUAUAGAUGUUAGGGUUUUGUUGUGCACUCCAUUAGAUUAGAAGGGGAUUCAUACGAAGCCCUUUAGCAAUUCUCCGUAUCACAUCAAAAUGUUAGCUUGUUUGGAAACACCUGUUUAACUGGCCCAACUUCAUUUUGCUGCCAGCCUUAAUCAGCAAGUGAAAUUUUGCUGCUAGGCUUUAUGUCCCAUUUGGCCAGUACAUUUGUGGGGAAAAGUAAUACUCUGUUCCUUCCCUCUCUAGUACAUAUUUGUCCGGGUUUGAGAUUUAAAUUUAUUAAUCUCUAACUUCUCUUUUCCUGUUCUUAUUUUUCUAAACUCAAUUGUUGAAUUGAGCUGCGUGCUGCAGAAGUUUGUUUAGUGUCAGUAAGAAGUAUAAUUCAAAGCCCGCAAACACGAUCAAGAACCAAAUUGAAUUAAGAAGUAUAAUUCAAAGCCCGCAAACACGAUCAAGAACCAAAUUGAAUGCCUUCUGGUUUAUUGUUACUUCAUUCUUAUAUCCCUCUUAUGGUAACAUUUUCUUGUUUGAAAUUUGUCUGUAUGUGCAGGUUUGACUGGUCUGACUCAUUUGGAUCUAUUCUGCGCUCGUAUCACAGAUUCAGGAACAAAUUAUUUGCGAAGUACUUGCAUAUAACUUCUGUCAUUUAUUUAAAAUUAACACGUGUUCCAUUUUGAGAAGUUCUUUUUAGGGUUAAAUUCUGCAUUAUUAUUAUAUUUUAUAUGUUAUUAAAUAUGUAUUUGGAACUGGAAACAGCAGGAUCAUUUACAUUCAUAUUUCAUGUUGUGGGCUGAUUAUUUAGGUUUCAAGAAUUUGCGGUCCUUGGAAGUUUGUGGUGGAGGAUUAACUGACGCUGGUGUGAAGAAUAUCAAAGAUCUCUCGUCUUUGACAAUGUUGAAUCUCUCUCAGAACCACCACCUGACAGAUAGAACCCUGGAACUGAUUUCUGGUAUAUAUUGGCAUCUUUAACUCAUCUAGAUCUUCUUUAUGUGAAUGUGGUUGAUUUUUUUUAGUACUCUGGUAUUUCAAAUCCCUAGAAAUGUAUUGAUACUGAUUACAUAUAUAUUCUUCACUUUGCACGUUUGCGAUGGAGAUAUCAGCUCGAGUAAUUAUUUAGUAGCUCGUAGUAAGGACAAUGAGAUUCCGUUUUUUUCUUUUGUGGAACUACAUACUUUGAUUAAAGUUCGUGAUCUGCUUCUAGGACCUGUGUUGGCAAACAUUUGUUCUUAUAUUUUCCCAGUUGAUGACUGCAUAAAAGCCUCAUAUAUCCACAUAAUUAC
rnacentral:lncRNA from 1 species